rnacentral:rRNA from 1 species
GAUGAACGCUGGCGGCGUGCCUAAUACAUGCAAGUCGAGCGAACAGACGAGGAGCUUGCUCCUCUGACGUUAGCGGCGGACGGGUGAGUAACACGUGGAUAACCUACCUAUAAGACUGGGAUAACUUCGGGAAACCGGCGCUAAUACCGGAUAAUAUAUUGAACCGCAUGGUUCAAUAGUGAAAGACGGUUUUGCUGUCACUUAUAGAUGGAUCCGCGCCGCAUUAGCUAGUUGGUAAGGUAACGGCUUACCAAGGCAACGAUGCGUAGCCGACGUGAGAGGGUGAUCGGCCACACUGGAACUGAGACACGGUCCAGACUCCUACGGGAGGCAGCAGUAGGGAAUCUUCCGCAAUGGGCGAAAGCCUGACGGAGCAACGCCGCGUGAGUGAUGAAGGUCUUCGGAUCGUAAAACUCUGUUAUUAGGGAAGAACAAAUGUGUAAGUAACUAUGCACGUCUUGACGGUACCUAAUCAGAAAGCCACGGCUAACUACGUG